rnacentral:tRNA from 1 species
GCGGGGGUUGCCGAGCCUGGCCAAAGGGGCUAGAAAAUUGGAAGCGCGGGACUUAAGAUCCCGUCUCUUAGGAGUUCGUGGGUUCAACUCCCACCCCCCGCA